rnacentral:rRNA from 1 species
CCUACGGGAGGCUGCAGUGGGGAAUAUUGCACAAUGGGGGAAACCCUGAUGCAGCGACGCCGCGUGAGUGAAGAAGUAUUUCGGUAUGUAAAGCUCUAUCAGCAGGGAAGAAAAUGACGGUACCUGAUUAAGAAGCCCCGGCUAACUACGUGCCAGCAGCCGCGGUAAUACGUAGGGGGCAAGCGUUAUCCGGAUUUACUGGGUGUAAAGGGAGCGUAGACGGCAGCACAAGUCUGGAGUGAAAUGCCGGGGCUUAACCCCGGAACUGCUUUGGAAACUGUGCAGCUAGAGUGCAGGAGAGGUAAGUGGAAUGCGUAGUGUAGCGGUGAAAUGCGUAGAUAUUAGGAAGAACACCAGUGGCGAAGGCGGCUUACUGGACUGUAACUGACGUUGAGGCUCGAAAGCGUGGGGAGCGAACAGGAUUAGAUACCCCUGUAGUC